CUGAUAUAGCUGGCCUUUUCUCAGAGGAUAUUUUUUAUUCUACUAUAUAACACUCGGAAGAUAAUUAGGCCUGAGUGAUUAUCAUAAUUCUUCCUUUCAGAUCCCUUCCAGCCCAGAAAAUUCCAAAAUGAUAGCUGGACCACAGAAAACCACAUCUGAAAUUGAUGGAGAUGAUUAAACGUCACCCACAGAUUGUGAGAUGAGAUGAGUGCUGUAUCAGGAUGAGACUUGACUUGAACCUGUAUAAGAGAUGGUGAAUUUGUUCUUCUGUGUGAAGAAGUAUUCAGGAUUUGGUGACCAGAGGGAAAGACUGACCCACCGUAUUUGUGCUCUUUUCCCAGAGAACAUAGUUACUGCCUGAAGUGCCGUGUGAGGUAGGCACACCAUCUCUGAGCCUUCCCUUGCAUCUCACAAUGGAAUCUUUCUUGUUUAUAUAUGAUGAAUAGCAAUGACGAGUAUUACUUUAGGGCCUGAAUAUAAGGAGUGGUUGUGCUUUUGCUACAAUCUCCUCCUUCCCCAGCUGUUUGCAAAGAAGAUGCCCUAGGACAGGGAUUCUGAAAGUGUGCAACAGCAUCAGCAGCAUCUGGGAACAUGCAUGAAAGCUUUUUUGUGUAUUACACUCUACGUGGAGCAGUUUUCAAAAAUACUGUGGCUUUUCCCAGGACCAGACAGCUUCCCUGGAGAAUUCUACAAACUUUCAGAGAGGAUUUAAUACCUAUCCUU
rnacentral:lncRNA from 1 species